rnacentral:rRNA from 1 species
GAUGAACGCUGGCGGCGUGCCUAAUACAUGCAAGUCGAGCGAACGGACGAGAAGCUUGCUUCUCUGAUGUUAGCGGCGGACGGGUGAGUAACACGUGGAUAACCUACCUAUAAGACUGGGAUAACUUCGGGAAACCGGAGCUAAUACCGGAUAAUAUUUUGAACCGCAUGGUUCAAAAGUGAAAGACGGUCUUGCUGUCACUUAUAGAUGGAUCCGCGCUGCAUUAGCUAGUUGGUAAGGUAACGGCUUACCAAGGCAACGAUGCAUAGCCGACCUGAGAGGGGGAUCGGCCACACUGGAACUGAGACACGGUCCAGACUCCUACGGGAGGCAGCAGUAGGGAAUCUUCCGCAAUGGGCGAAAGCAUGACGGAGCAACGCCGCGUGAGUGAUGAAGGUCUUCGGAUCGUAAAACUCUGUUAUUAGGGAAGAACAUAUGUGUAAGUAACUGUGCACAUCUUGACGGUACCUAAUCAGAAAGCCACGGCUAACUACGUG